GCCAUCCAGCCACACAAAGAUCCAAAUACAAGUUCUUCCUUUACUUCGAUCCCUGUAGGGAGAAGAAGAUAAUAGGGGGUAAGCUAGAAGCUCAGUGAGUGACCAGUAAAAUCAACAGCCAAGUAUAUUUCACAAUAAAGCAUUGAUAUGAUGUCAUGAUGCAGUAAUCAAAUGUUCAUUUAUUGCUCAUGUGAGCCAGUGAAGUUCUUGUACUUAAAUAUCCAACGCUCGUUUAGAUCAGGUAACCGGGAAACAGAAGUAAGGAGCCAUCGUGCUCCAAAGAAUGUGUAAACAGUAGUGGAGACAUUGGUUCUAAGCACAAGACUUUCCAGGAUCUCAUUGGAGCCAAAUUAUGUCACGGCACACACCCAAACCCAAAUGAUAUGCAAUGGAGUAAUAAAUGCAAGAAUUAGUUCAAAAGUAACUUUGGAAAUAGUUGAGGGAUCACUCACCAACCACGACUCACGAACCUCAUCCAUCAUUUAUUAUUGUCUUGCUCAAGUCCAAGCCCUCAAAAACAGAGCUUGAAAGAGUGAUACUUCACCUCCUUUGGAAUUUCUUAGUUCCCCAAGCUUCCCAACUCACAACCCACACUUUAAUCGGUUUAGAAUUUUGAUUCUUCACUUGGAUGAUGUAAAUCAAAAAGAAAAUGGUGCAACUCUUGCUCUCCCUUUCUCUCUCCCUAUUCUCGGCCAAGGAGCAGAAAAAAUGAAGAAGAAAGGCUGCUCAUGGUGUUAAUUAAGGCAAGAGAUUAGGAUGAAUCUUGACCACAAGCUUUGCCAACACUUGGCUCACCCUUCACCACACAAUUUUCUCUUUCUUCUCCUUGCAUUUUGGCCACAUAUUUCGGUCAAGAGAUAGCUAUGAGGGGGAAGAUAUUUUGCUCAAUUAGUAAUGAGCUUAUAUGGUAAGAAAGUAGUGGUCAAGUGGUGCGUUCAAUCGCUAGUGCGCGGUACCCGCCGGUUCGCGCCGUUUUUCUUAAAAACACACGUACUAGGGUUUUCACUUCCUAUUCACUAAUCUUGUAUCAUUGCUUCUGAUCACAUAUUAUUUCUCACUUAAAAGUCAUUUUUAAUCACCAAAUUUGAUCCUUGCUUCGUACCGAAAAUUCAUCCGGCGAAAAUCGCGAAAACCCUAAUUUUGCUCCAAUCUUGAAACCAAAAGUGAAACCCUAUUUUCUAGGUUGAUUGGCACUUAUUGUGGGGUGAUUGAGUAGUAGGGCCAUUAUAAAAUGAUAUUUGUCAAAGAAAAGGGAAUUUUUAAGAAAAAUAUAAGGAAUUUGCACGGCUUCUGGCCGGAUUCUCCACAAAACACUAUUCACCAGAAAUUUUUCCCUUUUCUUCUGCCGCGGGGCAUCACAAACUCCCCUCCUUAAAAGAAUGUCAUCCUCGACAUUCCAACUUGUACUAAUCAGAUCAAAAUAGUUCUCGAAAGUCGAUCACGUAUUAAGAAUCAUGUCAAUCUCGCUUAUCAUAAUCAAAUACUAAUCAGAUCAAAUAUCUCAAUGGUUAAUCACAUACUAAGAAUCACUCAUCACAAUCAAGUACUAAAAGUACUCCAAUCCAACUUAUCAAAUAAUCUUGAUCCAAUAGAUAGUUAGACGAGUAACUGGAUACAUAUACAAAGGGGCUCGAAAUCGGACUUAAAGUCCCUGAUAUUUGGAAAAACAAUCCAGGACAUAACGAUGUCUCAGAUCAGAAAUUACCCCUAGUGGUGCUUGAAAACACAACAAGCUAGCACUCAGCUAUACUUCACCAGAAAGUCUCAGGAAUUUGUCCCCGGUGGUGCUUGAAAACACAACAAGCUAGCACUCAGCUAUACUUCACCAGAGCCUCAAAUGCAAGAUUUUGUCCAUGGCGGUGCUGGACAACACAACAGGUUAGCACAACGGCUAUACCUCACCAAAGAACCUCAGUUCAAAAUUUCAUCCUUGGUGGUGCUUGAUAACACAACAAGUUAGCACAAAGGCUAAACUUCACCAGAGGAUAUUAGCUCAAGAAAUUGGCCCUGGUGGUGCUUGAAAACACAACAAGCUAGCACUACGGCUAAGCUUCACCAGAGAGCCUCAAGUCAAAGUUUCAUCCCUGAUGGUGCUUGGAAACACAACAGGCAUGCCUCGCCAGAAGAAUGGCGGUGCUUGAAAACACAACAGGCCAUACCUCAUCAGAGAGGUUCUGUUCAAGAAUUUCAAUCCCUGAUGGUGCUUGAAAACACAACAGGCAUGCCUCGCCAGAAGAAUGGUGGUGCUUGGAAACACAACAGGCAAUGCCUCACCAGAGAGGUUAUGUUCAACCACUACAGAAGAGUAGUAGCCGGUCUAUAACCAAACAAGUGCGAAAAUGUUCAGAAACAGAGUCAAAAGCAGGGUUCAAGUGUAUCGGUUCAAAAGCGGGGUCAAUUAUUUCAGGUUCAAAGAACAUGAGUACGAGUAGGAACUCACUCGCCUAGCUUAUGCCCAGUAAUUCACACUCUCAAGCAGUCAUCAAACUCAAAUCCACAUACAGAUCAUAGAUGAAUCAAGAUACUUGCUCAAGAGUAAAAGAGAUACCCUAUUUUCAGUCAGGUCAGGUCUAUCAAGUGUACGUAAGGGUACACUAGCCGAUACAAAUUCAAGUCUCAAAUGAGCUCAGUCUAGUCGGUCUUAGACAGUUCAAAUACCUCAAAUCUUAACAUUUACCACUGGGGUGGUAUAACCUUAAUCAAACAGGGAAAUUAGAAGAAAAAUGCAAACCAAAACUUUUCUCAACAAUUCCAGCCACCACCAUAAUCUAUCAAAACCCUAGCCAAGAAUCCAAAACUAAGAAACUGUACAGCUCAGGCCGUACGCUCUCAAGCGUAAUUCAACCAAAUCAUAUCUUAUGCGUACCACUUUCAAGAUUCACAACUGACGCUCCAAAAGAGCACUGAACGUACAAACCAAUCCCACAGUCCGGCAUCCUAAACUUUAAGCCUAGGAUACACUACAAAGAUCGGAAGCCUAAGCUCUGAUACUACCUGUGACGGCCCCACCUCCCCCUAAGGCGAACCAAAGGGUUUAGCGGACCGCCUGCCCAGCUCUCGUCGGGACUCACUCACUACUACAUUCCUCAAGUAAAUUACAAGGUACAAUUCGAAUAAUACAUCCAAUUCUCCAAAAAUUACAUAUCAUAAGCGAAACGGAAACUAGGUCUAAGCGUCGAAUGUAGAUAUACAUCCGAUUCAAAUCCAAAUAUUUAUACAGGUCCAAAAGUAUAUAAACCAAAACCAAAUCUAAACUAUACAAGAUAUACGCCAUCCAGCCACACAAAGAUCCAAAUACAAGUUCUUCCUUUACUUCGAUCCCUGUGGGGAGAAGAAGAUAAUAGGGGGUGAGCUAGAAGCUCAGUGAGUGACCAGUAAAAUCAACAGCCAAGUAUAUUUCACAAUAAAGCAUUGAUAUGAUGUCAUGAUGCAGUAAUCAAAUGUUCAUUUAUUGCUCAUGUGAGCCAGUGAAGUUCUUGUACUUAAAUAUCCAACGCUCGUUUAGAUCAGGUAACCGGGAAACAGAAGUAAGGAGCCAUCGUGCUCCAAAGAAUGUGUAAACAGUAGUGGAGACAUUGGUUCUAAGCACAAGACUUUCCAGGAUCUCAUUGGAGCCAAAUUAUGUCAUGGCACACACCCAAACCCAAAUGAUAUGUAAUGGAGUAAUAAAUACAAGAAUUAGUUCAAAAGUAACUUUGGAAAUAGUUGAGGGAUCACUCACCAACCACGACUCACGAACCUCAUCCAUCAUUUAUUAUUGUCUUGCUUAAGUCCAAGCCCUCAAAAACAAAGCUUGAAAGAGUGAUACUUCACCUCCUUUGGAAUUUCUUAGUUCCCCAAGCUUCCCAACUCACAACCCGCACUUUAAUCGAUUUAGAAUUUUGAUUCUUCACUUGGAUGAUGUAAAUCAAGCAGAAAAUGGUGCAACUCUUGCUCUCCCUUUCUCUCUCUCUAUUCUCGGC
rnacentral:lncRNA from 1 species